GACGAACCGUGCAAACGUUGUUCGGAAUCACUGGGCUUAAAGGGCUCGUAGGCGGCCAACUAAGUCGGACGUGAAAUCCCUCGGCUUAACCGGGGAACUGCGUCCGAUACUGGAUGGCUUGAGUUCGGGAGAGGGAUGCGGAAUUCCAGGUGUAGCGGUGAAAUGCGUAGAUAUCUGGAGGAACACCGGUGGCGAAGGCGGCAUCCUGGACCGACACUGACGCUGAGGAGCGAAAGCCAGGGGAGCAAACGGG
rnacentral:rRNA from 1 species